rnacentral:rRNA from 1 species
UACAGAGGUCUCAAGCGUUGUUCGGAUUUAUUGGGCGUAAAGGGUGCGUAGGCGGCGCGGUAAGUCGGGUGUGAAAUCUCGGGGCUUAACUCCGAAACUGCAUUCGAUACUGCCGUGCUUGAGGACUGGAGAGGAGACUGGAAUUUACGGUGUAGCGGUGAAAUGCGUAGAUAUCGUAAGGAAGACCAGUGGCGAAGGCGGGUCUCUGGACAGUUCCUGACGCUGAGG